rnacentral:ncRNA from 1 species
GCGCGGUCCGGCGGAGGUUGGAUCCCGUCCCGUCGGGGCGGGCGCACUACCGGCCGAUCUUCUCCGCCCUGUCGGCGAGGUCGAGCGAGAGCGUGCAAGUCGGGACCCGAAAGAUGGUGAACUAUGCCUGAGGAGGUUGAAGCCAGAGGAAACUCUGGUGGAGGACCGUAGCGAUUCUGACGUGCAAAUCGAUCGUCAAAUUUGGGUAUAGGGGCGAAAGACUAAUCGAACCGUCUAGUAGCUGGUUCCCUUCGAAGUUUCCCUCAGGAUAGCUGGCGCUCUGUCGCAGUUUUAUCUGGUAAAGCGAAUGAUUAGAGGUCUUGGGGGCGAAACGCCCUCAACCUAUUCUCAAACUUUAAAUUGGUAAGAAGCCCGACUCGCUCGUUUGGAGCCGGGCAUGGAAUGCGAGUGCCAAGUGGGCCACUCUUGGUAAGCAGGACUGGCGAUGCGGGAUGAACCGAACGCCGGGUUAAGGCGCCCGACGCGACGCUCAUCAGAGCCCACAAAAGGUGUUGGUUGAUAUAGACAGCAGGACGGUGGCCAUGGAAGUCGGAAACCGCUAAGGAGUGUGUAACAACUCACCUGCCGAAUCAAUCAGCCCUGAAAAUGGAUGGCGCUGGAGCGUCGGGCCUAUACCCGGCCGUCGCGGCGGUACGAGAAUCGAGUUGGUGCGCUAGGCCGCGAUUGA